UAACGCGUGAGUAACCUGCCUUGGAGUGGGGAAUAACAGCUGGAAACAGCUGCUAAUACCGCAUAAUAUGUCUGUGUCGCAUGGCACUGGACAUCAAAGAUUUAUCGCUCUGAGAUGGACUCGCGUCUGAUUAGCUANUUGGUGGGGCAACGGCCCACCAAGGCGACGAUCAGUAGCCGGACUGAGAGGUUGGCCGGCCACAUUGGGACUGAGACACGGCCCANACUCCUACGGGAGGCAGCAGUGGGGAAUAUUGGGCAAUGGGCGCAAGCCUGACCCAGCAACGCCGCGUGAAGGAAGAAGGCUUUCGGGUUGUAAACUUCUUUUCUCAGGGACGAAGCAAGUGACGGUACCUGAGGAAUAAGCCACGGCUAACUACGUGCCAGCAGCCGCGGUAAUACGUAGGUGGCAAGCGUUAUCCGGAUUUACUGGGUGUAAAGGGCGUGUAGGCGGGAAAGCAAGUCAGAUGUGAAAACCAUAGGCUCAACCUGUGGCCUGCAUUUGAAACUGUUUUUCUUGAGUACUGGAGAGGCAGACGGAAUUCCUCGUGUAGCGGUGAAAUGCGUAGAUAUGAGGAGGAACACCAGUGGCGAAGGCGGUCUGCUGGACAGCAACUGACGCUGAGGCGCGAAAGCGUGGGGAGCAAACAGGAUUAGAUACCCUGGUAGUCCACGCUGUAAACGAUGGAUACUAGGUGU
rnacentral:rRNA from 1 species